UACGGGGGGGGCAAGCGUUGUUCGGAAUUACUGGGCGUAAAGGGCUCGUAGGCGGCCAACUAAGUCAGACGUGAAAUCCCCAGGCUCAACCUGGGAACUGCAUCCGAUACUGGAUGGCUUGAAUUCGGGAGAGGGAUGCAGAAUUCCAGGUGUAGCGGUGAAAUGCGUAGAUAUCUGGAGGAAUACCGGUGGCGAAGGCGGCAUCCUGGACCGACAUUGACGCUGAGGAGCGAAAGCCAGGGGAGCAAACGGG
rnacentral:rRNA from 1 species